AGGUCUGCAGAGAGAGAGAGACAGGGUCUGAUCCACAGCCUCCAUCGCAGCUGUUGAUCAGCCGUUGCCUCUCUCUUUCUCUCUC
rfam:Myotis lucifugus cont2.15549, whole genome shotgun sequence.